UUUUUACAGCGAGACUGAAGAUUCUGAAUUAGAACUUCAAUGGAGAUCAAAGUCACCUCACCGUCUCAUUAACCUUCACUUGGCAUCCUUAAAGGAGAUUACGAGCCCUGUGUUUGUAGUGAGACUUCGCUAGGACAGAUAGAGUACACUGUCCUGGGAGCCCUGCCUCCCCACCGUGGUCACAACUUGCAGCAAGGAACUAAUCUGGUUGACAUCUCUCACUUUAUGAGAGUUGUGGUAAGGAUUCUAUUUACUAUAUGUUACAAUGCAAUAUCAUAC
rnacentral:lncRNA from 1 species